rfam:Bacillus cellulosilyticus DSM 2522, complete genome.
CAUACGGCUUUAUUAAAAGCCAAAAAGGAUAUUUAGUUGGAAUUUC